AUUGAACGCUGGCGGCAGGCCUAACACAUGCAAGUCGAGCGAGCGGCGGACGGGUGAGUACUGUAUGGGGACUGCCCGAUCGAGGGGGCUAACUACUGGCAACGGUAGCUAAUACCGCAUACUAUCGGAUAACCCAUAUGGGAUUAGCUAGUAGGUGAGGUAAUGGCUCACCUAGUCGACGAUCCCUAGCUGGUCUGCGCGGCUGAUCAGCCAAACUGGUACUGAGACACGGCCCAGACGCCUACGGAGGCAGCAGUGGGGAAUAGUGCACAGUGGGAGAAAGCCUGAUGAAGCCAUGCGGCGUGUAUGAAGAAGGCCCUAGGGUUGUAAAGUACUUUCAGUCGGGAGGCGUUACCGACAGAAGAAGCACCGGCUAACUCCGUGCCAGCCGCCGCGGUAAUUC
rnacentral:rRNA from 1 species